AUCUCCGUCGUAUAGUGGUUAUUACGUUUCGUUGUGGCGUUCACAGCGACCGAAAUAACGUGUGUUCGAUUCACACCGGGGAUA